rnacentral:lncRNA from 1 species
UAAAACUCCAUUUCAGUGUCCUUUAUCAGAUCCUUCUCUGCUAUACAGUACAAAUAAGGCGGCAAUUUAAGCUCCUCCACCGCCGGCGCUGCAUCUCCCAUCGGGCAUGUUAUUGGAUGAUCCUUAUUGCUCCCUAUAGGUAAAGCCAACGCUAGAAAUUUAUCCACCAUAUCUAUCGUUAAAAACGGCGUUUGCUCUUGUUCUAACUCCGAUUUGCUCCGAUAGGACCGCACGAAACCUGGAUGGAUCGGAAUUGCGCCGGCCAGUCGCAUUGGAGAUAAGGUUUCCUCGCCGGCUCUGACGGCGACUUGGUGGACUAUGUUACCGCCGGAGCUGUCUCCGAUGAGGAAUACUCGGUUGAAAUCUGCGUAAUCCUUGAGCCAGGGCUCGUAUCCUUGCUGCCGGGAGAGGUCCCGGAGCCAGAGGAGGGCGGCGAAACCGUCAUCGCAGGCGGCAGGGAGGCGGUGCUCCGGCGCGAGGGGGAGGAAGACGGAGACAAUGAUUGCGUUGGCCACGCGCGCUAGGCGCGUGUAGACAGUGUAGUACAUGAACCAAUCAGCUUGGCUGACGCAAAAGCCGCCGCCGUGGAAGUGAAGAAUGACGGGAAGCUUAUUGACG